UUGGAGCCCUUCUCAUGAUGAUGCAAAGUUCUUAUACUUGUGGGUGACUAGUUGAGUAUUCUCCUUAAAAUGGCAAAAUGUCUUUCCAUUAAAAAUGAAAAAAAAAUACCUUUGUUAUUUUUACCAUAAACUACGAUGUUUUGAUCCUCCAUUGCACUUUUUUAGUAUGUAGGCAUGAGACUUCAAAAGUCUUGGCAAACGCAAAAAAAAUCAUUAAAAAAAUAUACUUCUUUUCC
rnacentral:lncRNA from 1 species